UACGUAGGGGGCAAGCGUUGUCCGGAAUCAUUGGGCGUAAAGCGCGUGUAGGCGGCUCGGUAAGUCUGCUGUGAAAGUCCAGGGCUCAACCCUGGGAUGCCGGUGGAUACUGUCGAGCUUGAGUCCGGAAGAGGCGAGUGGAAUUCCUGGUGUAGCGGUGAAAUGCGCAGAUAUCAGGAGGAACACCAAUGGCGAAGGCAGCUCGCUGGGACGUGACUGACGCUGAGACGCGAAAGCGUGGGGAGCAAACAGG
rnacentral:rRNA from 1 species